GUGGCAUCGGUGGUUCAGUGGUAGAAUGAUCGCCUGCCACGCGGGCGGCCCGGGUUCGAUUCCCGGUCGAUGCAACUA
rnacentral:tRNA from 1 species